rnacentral:rRNA from 1 species
AUCCAGGAGAAGUCUGACGGCAGCACGCCGCGUGAGUGAUGAAGGUUUUCGGAUCGUAAAACUCUGUUGUUAGGGAAGAACAAGCUACAAGAGCUAACUGCUUGCUACCUUGACGGUACCUAACCAGAAAGCCACGGCUAACUACGUGCCAGCAGCCGCGGUAAUACGUAGGUGGCAAGCGUUGUCCGGAAUUAUUGGGCGUAAAGCGCGCGCAGGCGGUCCUUUAAGUCUGAUGUGAAAGCCCACGGCUCAACCGUGGAGGGUCAUUGGAAACUGGGGGACUUGAGUGCAGAAGAGAAGAGUGGAAUUCCACGUGUAGCGGUGAAAUGCGUAGAGAUGUGGAGGAACACCAGUGGCGAAGGCGACUCUUUGGUCUGUAACUGACGCUGAGGCGCGAAAGCGUGGGGAGCAAACAGGAUUAGAUACCCUGGUAGUCCACGCCGUAAACGAUGAGUGCUAAGUGUUAGAGGGUUUCCGCCCUUUAGUGCUGCAGCAAACGCAUUAAGCACUCCGCCUGGGGAGUACGGCCGCAAGGCUGAAACUCAAAGGAAAUGGACGG